AUAUAGUAUAACAUCAAAAAAAUAUAAAAAAAGUAAUUCAAAGGGGUUAUUAAGGAUAGCACAAGCAAAUUUAUAAAAAAGGAGGUGUCAACCAAAUGCUUUCAUAAUAUUAAAUUAUUUAUCGUGAAAGCGAUCCUAAGGGAAACCUUUUAAUUAUUACUUCCUGAAGUAAAACAUUUUAGUAAGGAAAGGAAAGGAAAUCAACCGAGACUCCGAGAGUAAUGGUGAGUGAAAUCGGAUUAGCCUAAAAUUAUUUCUUAUAAAUUGAAAAAAUUAACUAAUUUUAGUAGCAUAUUUUCAAUUAUAAUUUAAUUAUAAUUAAUAAAAAAUAUAGGAAAGAAAGAGUUAAUUUACAAAAAUUUUAUUUAAAAAUUAAAAUCUUUGUUCAAAGAAGGUUAAAUACAAUAAAUCCUGUAAAUUUAUAAAAAUAAAAAUAUAACAAGUACGAUGAGAGUUAACUUGUCGGAACAAAGGGGAACCAUCCUCUAAGGCUAAGUAUUAUAAAUUUAGCGAUAGUGAAAAAGUACUGUAAAGGAAAAGUUUGAAAAGCAAUGGUUUAAAGAAACAUAAGAGUAUUUAUUUAUAUUUAAAAAUAAAAAGUUAAAAAUAAAUAGGUGCCGGUGAAAUAGAUCUUGAAUUAGUAACUCUAUAAGCAGUCGAAAUUUUUUAAGAAAGAAUGACGGCGUACCUUUUGCAUAAUGGGUCAGCAAGUUAAUAGGAGUAGCAAGGUUAAAAGCCCUAGCGAAAGCGACUGGACUAUAAAUCUAUCCUAAAUUUCAUUUAUAUAAAUUAAAAUAUAUAAUUUUAAAUUAAAAAGAUAGAAACUAAUAUAGUGAUGGAUAAGUUACUUCUAUUAGACCCGAAGCCAGGUGAUCUUACUAAGACCAGAUUAUAAUGGAUCGAACGGGUGAAUGUUGCAUAAUUCUCCGAAGAGUUUUAGUAAGCGGUGAAAUGCCAAUCUGACCUGGUGCUAUCUGGUUUUCUACCGAAACAUAUUUAAGUAUGACAUCUACACAAAAUUUAUGGAGGUACAGCAAGGCAAUUCCCAACAAGUUUAAGAGUUAUUGUAUUUUAAUAUAAUAUCGUCUUUUAGGCGUUUAGGUUGUGGGGACCUCGAAAAUCUUACCUAUGGAAGCGAAUCUCGGAAGUACAUAAAUUGAUGGUAGAUAUUCAGACUAUUCAUGCUAAGUUGGAUAGUCAAGACGGAAACAGCCGAGAACACAGAUCAAGGUCCCAAAUGAUUAUUAAGUGAAAUUAAGGAUGUUUAAAAUCGGAUACAGCUGUGAAGUGAGCUUGGAAGUAGCUUCUUAUAAUGAUCGUAUGUAACAACGCAUCAGCAGUCUAGAUUGUAGCGCCGAAAAUUUAACGGGUCUAAAAUAAUCAACCGAUAUCGUGUUGGUUUUGAAUUAAAAAACAAAAAACAAAAAUUUUAUUUUUAAUUGAUUUUAUUUUUAAUUUUAAUUGAUUUUAAUUUUAAUUGAUUUUAAUUUUAAUUGAUAACCUAGGUAGUAGAACAUUCAGUCUAACUAUUUAUAAAACAGUGUUUCAUUGUUUUUAGGUAACUGAAGAGAGAAUGCUGACAUGAGUAACGUAAAAAGAAGUUAUAAUACUUCUCGCCGAAUACGAAAGGGUUGUAAGUGAAAGGUUAAUCCGCCUUACGUGAAUGCGGCCUCUAAGGACUAGAACGAAAGUUUUGGCUGAUGAGUAUAUAAUAGAAAAUCCAUAAAUGGAUCAGGAAAUUAAUAUGAGAUAAAAUUUUUAAUUUAAUUUUAUCUGUAAGAACUUAAAUUUAUUUUUUAUUCUUGAGAUACUAAUUUAUAUUUUGUUCUUGUCUUUCUAAAUUAUCCUUUACUUAUCCUUCUCUUCCUCCUGCCUGUCUUCCCUUUUUCCUUUUCCCUAUCCUUAAUAAGAUAAGGGGCUAAGGAUAGAGGGUUGAAAUAAAAAGGCAAGGGGGGUAAAAGGAAAAGGUUAAGGAAAGUUUGAUUAAAUAGGUAAGGGAAAAGUAAAAUAGAAAACCUUUAAAAAAGAUAAACUUAAGACUACCGUACCCUAAACCGACACAGGUUCGUAGGUAGAGAAUACUAAGGCGUAGAGCUAAAAGUUGUUAAGGAACUCGGCAAAUUAACCUCAUACGUUUGACAACAAGAGGUACCGUUUUUUAUUAGUAGUAAGGAUAUAUUUUUAUAUAAUUAAUACUUUUUAAGUUAACGGUGACACAUAAUCGGAGGCCCCGACUGUUUACUAAAAACACAGAUCACAGCAAUCAUGUAAAUGAUAGUAUUGUGGUCGAAAUUUGCCCGAUGCCAUUAAUAUAAGAGAGGUUAUAGAAUUCUGUGACUAAUCGAAAGUCUGGUUAAUAGCGGUCUUAACUAUGAGGAUCCUAAGGUAGCAAAAUAAAUUGGCCAUUAAAUGUGGUCCGGUAUCAAUAAUGUAACGAGGGCCUCACUGUCUCUACAACUUGCUCAGUGAAAUUGAAUUACCCGUGCAGAUGCGGGUUGCCUCCAGGGGGACGGGAAGACCCUAUGCAGCUUUACUGUAGUUAGUUAUCACGUUAAUCUACAACAACCUUCGUUAAUAGAGAAUAGGAAAGUCGAUAGACAAAGCCGUCAUUCUCAAUGUCCAGUACAGGAAAGUUUAACGGAAAGUGGAAACCUUAAAACUUAGGUUGGGUUAAUGUUUACCUUUAUAAGUUAUAAAAAAAUAAAAGGGAGAGGUUACUAAUUGGCAGUUUGACUGGGGCGGUCGUCUUUAAUAGAGUAGCAAAGUACAUCCAAAUAUUUAAUAAAAAAAUUUAAUGUAAAUUCUUACAUUUCAAACAAAUAAAAUAUAAAAUUUGUUAUAUAUUUUAUAUUAACUUUAUACAUAAAAAAUUUAAAAAAGGUAUAGCUAGAAAUUGAAUGGAGAUCAAUCAACCAGUGAAAGGUUGUGCAGGGCUCAAUGGCGGUAAGCAUGCUUAACUGAAAGACCUAAAAGUCGCACAGAUACGUAAGUAGGGCAUAGUGACCCCUCGCUAUAAUAUGGGAUAGACGAGGAUCAAUUGAUAAAAGUUACGCUAGGGAUAACAGGCUGAUAGCCGACGAGAGUACACAUUGUCUCGGCUGAUUGGCACCUUACAGGUUAAAAAGAGUUUAAAAAUUAAAAUUUAUAAAUAAAGUUUUUAAAUUUAAAAUUGUUAUAAAAAUAGAAAAUAGUUUAAAUUUAAACUAUUUUUAUAAUUAAUUCCUUAAAAUAUAAGAUAUAAUACUGUCUUUAAAGGGUGUUUAUUUGGACUUAUUUCAAAAUAAAUCCUAUUAAAUUUAAAAUUAUUAGUCUUCUCUAAAUAAGAAAAUAUGUAUAAUAAAAAUGUCAAAAUCACUUAAAGAAUUAUUAGUAGGUCUUCUAUUAGAAGCUUUAAAAGAAAUUAUAAAAGAAAUUACUUAAUUUAAAAACUUAGCAUUUAACAUCGGGGAUUUUUAAUGGUGACAUUAAAUUAGCAGUUGGCUAUUUGCUGGAACACCCUUAGAGCUUUCAAUACUUAUUAAAUUAAUUAAAUAAUUUAAUGAUUUAAUAAGUGAAAAUUUGAAAGAUUGGGCAAUCAGCAGGGAAGUGAUUAAUUUUAGAUGUAAGCAAUUGUAAAAUUUCUCACCCCUCAACGAUCACACGCCAACAACCAGAGCUUUUCCAAUUUACUCUUGGAACUGGUUGAAGAUAUGAUCUAAACUUAACUGAAAGGUUAAGAGUAUUAGUAUAAUUAGUAUAAUUUAUAUAAUUUACUUAAUUUACUAAUAUAUAAUGCGAUGUCGACUCAUCCUAUCCUCCGGGGGAAGAAGCUUGGAAGGGUUCGGCUGUUCGCCGAUUAAAAGGGUACGCGAGUUGGGUUUAAUACGACGUGAGUCAGUAUGGUCCCUAUCUUCUGGAGGAAGAAAUAGUAAAAAGGGGCAGACCUUCUAGUACGAAAGGAUCAAUAGGCUGUGUUUCUCUAGUGUACCAAUUGUUUUUACUAACUUUUUUGUUAGGGACCUGUUUA
rnacentral:rRNA from 1 species